rnacentral:rRNA from 1 species
AUUGAACGCUGGCGGCAGGCCUAACACAUGCAAGUCGAGCGGAUGAAGGGAGCUUGCUCCUGGAUUCAGCGGCGGACGGGUGAGUAAUGCCUAGGAAUCUGCCUGGUAGUGGGGGAUAACGUCCGGAAACGGGCGCUAAUACCGCAUACGUCCUGAGGGAGAAAGUGGGGGAUCUUCGGACCUCACGCUAUCAGAUGAGCCUAGGUCGGAUUAGCUAGUUGGUGGGGUAAAGGCCUACCAAGGCGACGAUCCGUAACUGGUCUGAGAGGAUGAUCAGUCACAAUGGAACUGAGACACGGUCCAGACUCCUACGGGAGGCUGCAGUGGGGAAUAUUGGACAAAGGGCGAAAGCCUGAUCCAGCCAUGGCGCGUGUGGGAAGAAGGUCUUCGGAUUGUAAAACACUUUAAGUUGGGAGGAAGGGCAGUAAGUUAAUAACUUGCUGUUUUGACGUUACCAACAGAAUAAGCACCGGCUAACUUCGUG